CUUAAAGCACUACAGAAAUAUAAAGUGUUUGGCAUAGGACUUGGUACCCAGUAAACACUAUAUAAGUGUUAGUUGAUACACUUUUUGUUGCUGUUAUCCACCAUAUACUAGUUUUCUGAAGAAUACCCGAGAAAUCCAAACAAAAGGGUAGUGAAUUCCCCAUCAUUGGUGCUAUUCCAGUGGUGGCCAGAUAAGUUGGGAAGUCUAAAGUUGCCAAAUAAUGCUAUUGUAAGAGUCCUCUUUGGAUGAACUUUAUGUCGUUCCAGCCCUAAGACUGUAUAAUUUUUUAUGAAAGCACAGAUAGGAAAUGAAGGGGAGAAGAAAAUGAUUCCUCUUCAUGGAUCCUGGCUAGAUAGUUCCUAGAUCUACUAUGAAGUCACUUCAGGACCUUUCUUUGCUCAUAACGAUCUCAUAAUCUUUGGAGACUUCAAAGCAUGGGGAGUGGAGCUAGAAGAGACCCCAGAGGUUAGAUAGUAUAAACUCCUCAUUUUAUGGAUGAGGAAUCAAGGCCAGAUCAAUUAAGGGACUUGCCUUCUAACCCUUAAAGUGCUGUAUAAACAUGAGCUAUUAUUGUCAAUGUUGUGUAUAAACUUAUCUAUGUGCAUAUUAUCCACCCUAUCAAAAUGUGAGCUCUUUGAGGUUAGGGCAGGUUUUGGCUUUCCUUUGCUUUAAAAAAGCUUAACACUGUGCCUGCUGGAUGAUUGCCUGACCUGUGCAGUUUGGAUUUGGAGAUGUGGGAAUGGAGUCUAGGACAGAUUAAACUUGACAGAAAUGAAGAAAUUGUGGCUGAGAAGCUAUAUCACAAGGCUAGCUAACUUCCCUAUUCCCUGAGACACAAGAACAUUGAAAUUCAAAUAAAGCACAGAGUAAAUUGAAGGGGCAAACUUUAUUGUUGCCUUAUUUUAAGAAAUGGACACAGCCAUCCCAACCACUCUGAUCAGUCAGCAGCCGUCCACAUCUAGGCAAAAAGAUGAAGACUUCUGGAAGGUGAUUAAUGAAACAGAAGGACCAUGGAACAAUUCUUGGGACAUUCUACUAGAAAUCUUGAUGAAAGACUCUACUUUAGGUAAGGACAUUUAACUAGUAAAUUCACCUAACAAGAAUGUCUAUCCCAUUACCUCUUGAUCUUUUUAACAUGAGGAACUUUGAGAAUGUGUUAAAUAAUUUGCUGAAAUAUUAGAUAAACUGUAUCUACAACCUUCCCUCACCUGAGUCUAGUAACUUGAACAAAAAAGCAAAUCAGUGUUUUGUUGUGUUUUUUUUUUUUUUGUUUUUGUUUUGUUUUGUUUUGUUUUUUGCAUGAUUGGUUCUGGCUCAUAGUGAUCACCACUUCUUUUUAUAUAUGUUCACAUUUAUAACAAUUUC
rnacentral:lncRNA from 1 species